CGUUUUGUUUUUAUAGCGGUUUGCCCCAGGUUUAGUGUUUCAGAUCCUUCAUGAGAAAUUUCGGUGCGAGAAUACGGGCGGGCUCUAGGCGAAUAAUGCAGCGACAAUACAACCCCUUCUCUCACUGAACGCCUGCCAAACGGAUUCUGGGUCUUUGGGACUCAAACAGCAAGCAGAAAGAAAUCACUCAAGAGGAUGAAACGAAACGAGUUCGGAGUUUAGUUGUGAGAAAGGGACUUCCAUGGUUUGCCGUGUGGAGCUCAGCGAUUUUGUUCUCGAGCACCUUACCAUCUCUCGCUUCUGUGCUGCCAAUGGGAAUCCGGUUGAUGCAGGAGAGGGAUGUUCCAAGUUAGCUGACGGGAAUGUGGUUUUUGGGGCCUGCUGAUAAGCUUGGCAAUGAAAAUACAGAAACUCAGGAGUAUAAGCACGGGCAUGUUACCCUUAUCAAAUGCUCAAAAGGUAUCGUCAAGAUCACAAAUACAGGAAUUGCUGGAGUAUAAGACACUGUAAGUAUUGAUGAAGCAGUUAGAGAGCUAAAGCACCGAGAGCUAGCUCUAAGGAGCUGAUAGCAAUGAUUAAGGACCCUCUUCCUUAUGCCUUGCAGCUGUCUGGACAGUUAACAGCUGAAAUGGAAAAAAAAUCAUCAAAUCAGGGCUUAAUCCCUCUCUUAGUUAAUCUGACCGUUGUGCAUUCAGUUGAAAAGCAGUAUGGAAAAGAUAUGGGUGCAUGUAAUCCUUCAGCUGAUCAAACCAAAGUGGAUUCAGCCAAUCCUUCCACUAUUCAGACUUCUACCUCCAGUAAGAAACGAGAAGGAAAAAUGUGUUGGCGCUAGUCCUUCAGCUAAUCUCACCAAAGACCAUAAUGCUGGCAUUGCAUCCUACUAGCUUCUGAAUAGUAUUUCUACUUAAUGGAGAUGAAUGCUACUGCUUGUAACUUUGAGGUUAUUCACCAAAUUUUCAGUGGUUUGGGUUGUUUUCAGCGAGGAUUGGCCUCUCAGGUUGUGUUUGGACCUCUCUUUUCUCUUCUUUCCUAUUUUCUAGCAAGAAAAUAAAACAAAAAAAUGGGGUUUAUGAAUUAUUGUGGAUGCGGAAGGGGAUUCAGAGGUAGAGGAAGGAAACGUUGUCACCAUGGCAAAUUAAAGGGGAAAACAAGUUUGUCUUUUAUAUUUCUCUGCUUCUCAAGACCAUUAUUUUUUGGUUCCUUUCUUGAUUUUUGUGUAGUGUGAUUUUGUUGCUGUUUCACUCAAUUCACUAGUGGAUUUUGGUCUCUUAUACUAAAUCCAUGCUUGCCUUGUAGAAUCUAGGGAAAGGAUACACCUUUGGUAUGCAUACUUUAGUAACGUGUCUCCUGCAUGUUUGUUAAGAAAUUUUAUUUUUAUGGAACCAUGAUUGUUGAAUUCCCCACCACACCUUGCUCUCUGUUUUUGGGCAGGCCUGUUAUUGAACUUUUGGUCCUUCCUUUUACUAUUAUUUAUCACUUUUCAAGGAUCUUCUCCCUUUUUGUUGUUGAUUACUGACUGUCCACAUUUCUGAAUGUGAAGACCACAGUUUUACUUUGCUUAUCUUAUUUUUGGUUACUUGGAAUUUCAGGUCAAGCAACUAACUGAGAAAGCUCGGUCAGGGAGGCUUGCACCAAAUGAAUUUCUAGGAGGAACUUUCAAGUUCAUAUAUUAUUAGGCAGAACUUUCUGAAACAAACUUAAUAAAAGAUAAUCUAUAUACCUAAUUGCUCCGUGUUAUUGUGCAGCAUUUACAACUUGGGAGUAUGUAUCCAGUGGACCAAUUUGCUGCAAUUAUAAAUCCGCCUCAGCUGGUCUUGCAGAUUCCUUUUUUGAUUGCACACUCGAAAUAUGGAUACAUGAUUGCCCCCUGGAUGGUCCUCACUGUGGCCAAAUCUGAGUAGGUGACCUAUUUCAUGCACAGCGACGGAUUGCAGGUCUAGCUCUACAGGUCCGGGAUUGCUGCUCCAACUUUCAUCAGCAUCAAAAUGUUGCAUUCCAGUACUUGGUCUAAAACCAUGGGCAUAGAUUCCUCCAGGGUCAUCAAAUGGGUAAUCAUCUCCGUGGUAGAAUUAGGCUCCUUAUGCCCAUUUUUGAAAGGAUUGUUUGCAGACAGACCUCACUGCACCAGCGACUUGGACUGUUGCGCCGAACUUCUACUUCAAAUGCUGUUUGGACCAUUGUGGUGCUACAGGGAAGAACGAACAGUCAGCAUUAGCUACCCGGCACACCCCAUCUGUAGAAAGUGGUGGUUGCCUCAAUCAACGAUACUAAAGUACCAAACUAAAACCGUUGUUGCAUAUUGUACUGCAAACAACAAACCACAGCCCUACUGACCAGGAAGAACUUCACCGAUGAUUUCCAAACAUAUCCUCAAGACGUGGCAAAACAUGAAAGAUUUUCUUCAGUGAUCACUAUACCGAGAAGAGCACUUCAAAUUUUAUAAACAAAUUAUCUUGUGAUAGCAACAUGCACUUGCUAAAAACCAAUUUCCCUCGAUGAUUAUUGUCAAGUUAUCAAACUCUUGCCUUUCUUUUCUUUUAUUUUGUUUUUCCUUAAUUAUAUCAAGAAGAGUAAUGAAAACACACCGAAUUAUAAUCAAGUUAUCAAACUCUUGCCUUUCUUUUCUUUUAUUUUGUUUUUCCUUCAUUAUAUCAAGAAGAGAAAUUAAAACACACCGAGAGGAUAAAAAAACAUUUUGUGAUGGAUGGCAAGCUGCACUUAAGAAAAACCAAUUUCCCUCAAUGAUUAAUAUCGAGUUAUCAGACUUCUGCUUUUCUUAUUCCUUGGUUAUCUUAGCUUUGGAGAUCCUGCUUCAAUAAAAACGAAGGUGGACUCUUCGAUUCUCUUGGCAGCUUUGUCGUGCAGCCAUAUUUGAAGGUAGCACCCUACUUUAGGCCUACCCUAGUUGUGCUCAAGGGGCAGGAAAAAAAGCAUCGAACCUUGACCUUUAUCUCAACAUGAACCAUGACAGAAUAAGCACGCAGCAACCAGCAUCAUCUCCGAAGAAGAAAUCAAUGGAACAAAUGCAAUCCAGUAAAAUGUACAUUUGAAACCUCGAGAUGUCUUGUCUCCAAAUAACACGGCUAAUCUAGAAGGCUGAUACAUGAUGAACCCUCGGAACAAUGCUUGUACAUUGUACAAAAAG